rnacentral:misc_RNA from 1 species
GAUGAAGAACGCAGCGAAAUGCGAUAAGUAAUGUGAAUUGCAGAAUUCAGUGAAUCAUCGAAUCUUUGAACGCACAUUGCGCCCUAUGGUAUUCCGUAGGGCAUGCCUGUCUGAGUGUCAGCUUCCUUCCUCUCAAACGUCUGUUUCUCCUUUUUGGAGGAAGACUUUGGAUUACCUUGGACAAGCUAUGGUUACGUGAUAAUGGCUGUCCAGAAAAUCAUAGGCAGUAUGGGUGUUUUCCAGACUGAACGUAAUAAGAAACAAUCAAAAAGGACGUUUAUAUGGAGCCUUUGUACUUGCCUUCAACCCACACAUUCUUUUUUUGGGUCGACCUCAGAUCAGGUAGGGAUACCCGCUGAACUUAAGCAUAUCAAUAAGCGGAGGA